GGCCCGGAGAAUGUUGAGAAUACUACGGGAGUUAAAACGAUGCGUUUUGCCGAUUUGUAUCUAGGGUUGACGUCUAUGUGGGACGUAGCAUUAUCACCUCGAUAUAUGAUAUAUAUAUGAAGUAAUCGUCAAACUGUAUGGUCGUGUUUUUUCUGUAUAACGACAGUCGAUUCAGACACGACAUCCACACAAAACCAAUCCG
rnacentral:lncRNA from 1 species